rnacentral:rRNA from 1 species
GUGGGGAAUCUUGCGCAAUGGGCGAAAGCCUGACGCAGCCAUGCCGCGUGAAUGAUGAAGGUCUUAGGAUUGUAAAAUUCUUUCACCGGGGACGAUAAUGACGGUACCCGGAGAAGAAGCUCCGGCUAUCUUCGUGCCAGCAGCCGCGGUAAUACGAAGGGGGCUAGCGUUGCUCGGAAUUACUGGGCGUAAAGGGCGCGUAGGCGGACAGCUUAGUCAGAGGUGAAAGCCCAGGGCUCAACCUUGGAAUUGCCUUUGAUACUGGCUAUCUUGAGUAUGGAAGAGGUAUGUGGAACUCCGAGUGUAGAGGUGAAAUUCGUAGAUAUUCGGAAGAACACCAGUGGCGAAGGCGACAUACUGGUCCAUUACUGACGCUGAGGCUCGAAAGCGUGGGGAGCAAACAGGAUUAGAAACCCGUGUAGUCC